rnacentral:rRNA from 1 species
CCUACGGGAGGCAGCAGUGGGGAAUUUUGGACAAUGGGCGCAAGCCUGAUCCAGCAAUGCCGCGUGAGUGAAGAAGGCCUUCGGGUUGUAAAGCUCUUUUGUCAGGGAAGAAACGGUGUUUUCUAAUACAGAGCGCUAAUGACGGUACCUGAAGAAUAAGCACCGGCUAACUACGUGCAAGCAGCCGCGGUAAUACGUAGGGUGCAAGCGUUAAUCGGAAUUACUGGGCGUAAAGCGUGCGCAGGCGGUUUUGAAGUUUGUCGUGAAAUCCCCGGGCUCAACCUGGGAAUGGCGAUGAAGACUGCAAGGCUAGAGUUUGGCAGAGGGGGGUAGAAUUCCACGUGUAGCAGUGAAAUGCGUAGAUAUGUGGAGGAACACCGAUGGCGAAGGCAGCCCCCUGGGUCAAAACUGACGCUCAUGCACGAAAGCGUGGGGAGCAAACAGGAUUAGAUACCCUGGUAGUCCACGCCCUAAACGAUGUCUACUAGUUGUCGGGUCUUAAUUGACUUGGUAACGCAGCUAACGCGUGAAGUAGACCGCCUGGGGAUACGGUCGCAAGAUUAAAACUCAAAGGAAUUGACGG